GACGAACGCUGGCGGCGUGCUUAACACAUGCAAGUCGAACGGAAAGGCCCUGCUUUUGUGGGGUGCUCGAGUGGCGAACGGGUGAGUAACACGUGAGUAACCUGCCCUUGUCUUUGGUAUAACUUCAGGAAACUGGGGCUAAUACCGGAUAGGAGCUCCUGCUGCAUGGUGGGGGUUGGAAAGUUUCGGCGGUUGGGGUUGGACGCGCGGCUUAUCAGCUUGUUGGUGGGGUAGUGUCUUACCAAGGAUUGGACGGUUAGCCGCCCUGGAAGGGAGACCGGCCCCAUGGGCCUAGAGAAAGGACCAGACUCGAACGGGAGGCAGCAGUGGGGAAUAUUGCACAAUGAGCGGAAGCCUGAUGAGGCACCGCCGCGUGCGGGAUGACGGCCUUCGGGUUGUGAACCGCUUUCGCCUGUGACGAAGCGUGAGUGACGGUAAUGGGUAAAGAAGCACCGGCUAACUACGUG
rnacentral:rRNA from 1 species